ACUUGACCUCAAAUCAGGCGGAUACC
rnacentral:rRNA from 1 species